UACGUAGGUGGCAAGCGUUGUCCGGAUUUACUGGGCGUAAAGAGCGCGCAGGCGGUCGUUCAAGUCGCGUGUGAAAGCCCCCGGCUCAACUGGGGAGGGUCACGCGAUACUGAUCGACUCGAAGGCAGGAGAGGGUAGUGGAAUUCUCGGUGUAGCAGUGAAAUGCGUAGAUAUCGAGAGGAACACCAGUGGCGAAGGCGAGUCUCUGGACGACCCCUGACACUGAGGCACGAAAGCUAGGGGAGCAAACAGG
rnacentral:rRNA from 1 species